rnacentral:rRNA from 1 species
AUUGAACGCUGGCGGCAGGCCUAACACAUGCAAGUCGAGCGGAGCGGCGGACGGGUGAGUAAUGCCUAGGAAUCUGCCUGGUAGUGGGGGAUAACGUCCGGAAACGGGCGCUAAUACCGCAUACUAUCAGAUUAGCCUAGGUCGGGUUAGCUAGUUGGUGGGGUAAAGGCCUACCAAGGCGACGAUCCGUAACUGGUCUCAGAGGAUGAUAAGGAAAACUGGAAUUGAGACACGGUCCAGACUCCGACGGGAGGCAGCAGUGGGGAAGAUUGGAAAAGGGGCGAAAGCCUGAGGCCGCCAUGCCGGGUGUGUGAAUAAGGUCUUCGGAUGGUAAAGCACUUUAAGUUGGGAGGCGUUACCAACAGAAUAAGCACCGGCUAACUUCGUGCCAGCAGCCGCGGUAAUAC